rnacentral:rRNA from 1 species
UGCGUAGGUGGUUAUUUAAGUCCGUUGUGAAAGCCCUGGGCUCAACCUGGGAACUGCAGUGGAUACUGGAUGACUAGAAUGUGGUAGAGGGUAGCGGAAUUCCUGGUGUAGCAGUGAAAUGCGUAGAGACCAGGAGGAACAUCCAUGGCGAAGGCAGCUACCUGGACCAACAUUGACACUGAGGCACGAAAGCGUGGGAGCAAACA